CCUCCUUAACCCUAGCCGCCUCCCCACCUCAGCCCCCCGGUCCCCGGCGGCUCCCCCCUCGUCCUCACCCUCUCCCUCUCUUUCUCUCUCCCCCCGCCAUUGUCGACCCCCACGGUUGGUUCGCCGCCUUCCUCUUCUUCGCCAUCGACGUGGACGUCGGCGUGCGCGCGCGGGCGGCAGAGCUUGCUGGCCGGCUGCGUGGCGCGCCCGUGCUGUACUGCCAGAAGAGCUUGAUCCGCCGGCACCGGCCAGGCUCUCGACUGACGGGCUCGCCGGGUCGCCGCCCCUCACGCCGCGCCGGCUAGGGGCGAGAAGGCGGAGGCGGGAGCGGCUGCUUCGGGCCCCGAUCUGGGGAGGGUAUGAGGCAGGGGAGGACGCCGUCCCUUUCGUUCCCUCUCUGAUUCGCCCUCUUCCCUCUUUCCUCUUUCCAUCCCUCACUUCGCCCUCAGGUCCGAGGCAACGAGUUUGCUUCCUCUGCUCCGUUCAUGUCAUUGAGCUUUUUCCUUGGCCAUAGCACCACAUUUGCGGCAGCACACCAGAGUCAAUUUGGUUGACUAGCAACAGAGCAAAGAGUAAAAUCAGGUCUUCACCUAUGGAGGAGGUAGAUACUGACGGAGUGUAUAUGACCAGGUGUCCUCCAGGUUCUGCAUCAUCAGUGUGUACCUCUAGAUUCUGCAUCAUUAGUGAGCAACUUACCUAAGCAAAUCACCCUGCCCUACGAACCACCAUUGCAAGUUGUUCACUUAACCUUCCAAAGCCAAGGUUCCUGUGUCGGCUUCUGUCGAUAGUAGAGAAAGUACUUCAGUUGAAGAUGCUAUUGACCUAUAUCCAAGGAAGAUGAAACUAAGCUGGAUGGUGAGAAUGCUGAUGCUGUGGUUACCGGAGAUGAGAAGAACGUGCAGUCUGACCAAACCUAGCCUAAGAGCAACCGAGCCCAAUCAACAAUUAGUAGAAGUAGUUAUGAGAUGAGGCAGAGGAGAGCAGAGAGGACCGGAGAAGGAGUUGCAGACCUCGCCAACAAGGCCGUGACCCUGCAUCACUAAAAAAUGCCCCGUAUUUGUUUUUCAUGCUUGGGUGAUGGCUGACCAUGGCAUGUUCUUAUUAGUUCAGGUUGGUCUCUCCGGUUCUUUUUGCCGAUGGCUUGAUGUACGCACUGGCAACCUCUUACUGGCAUGCCUCUGUUCGAGAGAUGGGAUAUGAAGAAAUGGCAUUCUGGUAUGUUAUAUCAUUUGAAGCAAUGACACUUUAUUUUGGUUCACAUUUCUUUACAGGUUGUUGUAUGCAGAGUUUAUGAGGUUGCACUGCACCAUCAAACUAUGCUCCAUGUUAAGCAACAUCCAGAACUGCCAUUAUAUAUUUAAUGUAGUAGGUUGAUGCAAGUUUGUAACCAGUCAUGGAUUUAAAAUAGGCUUUCUACCUCUUUAUUUUGGCCGGCAUGUUUUGGCAUGUGUUUUUGUCAUUGAUCUGCUAUAUAUUAAUUACAUUUGAGUAGACUGUUGACUGAGAAAGCCUGAACAUGUUGUGUUUUGAUUUAUGAGGACUAAUAGAUAGUUUUCCCUCGGGUUUAUUUAUUUUCUCUCCACACUUUUAAUUCUACAUAAAAGUACAUUCUAUUGUUAUUUGUUUACUAAUGCAAUAUAUGUACCCUUAGUUGUCUCAACUUCAUCAAUUUUAGUUUGUGUUUUCUGCGGCGCAGAACACAGUUCAAGGCAGUGCUGUGUCAAAGAUCUGUGCCAAAUAAUUAAGCUGAUUGAAAUAUCAAACUUUGGGUGCAGUCAUCUUGGUCCUGUAUAUAUGACUGUCUGAUACAAAAUCUGGACAGUUCUGUCAUGCCUUUUAUCUUCACAUCUGCCUUUCAUGAAUUUACUAAAGCUUUUUUUUACUUGAUCUUAUUUGCAGCUACGUUUAUCCAGGUUAUAGGGCCUCUAUAGGAAACGUAAUAAUCUGAAUUCCUAAGUAAAUAUAACAGCUCAUUUUCUUGCUUAAAUUUGCCAUUCUGAAAUCCUAAGUAUUUAUAACAACUCAAGUGUAUCCAUAUACUAAGAUAUGACAUUAGAUUUUCUUCUUACUUGGAUCUUUUGCCAUGUAAAGUAGAUUGUCCUCGAGUCGCUGUUGUGCUACUGCUAGGCACGAACAGAAUGGCCUCCUCUUAUUGCGAACCACACUGAUGUUGGCUUCUGAUUUCUGCUGUAAUGGAUUAUUUACUAUGGACAAAUAUGACAACAUUCAUUUGGAGCACCGUUUCUUGAGGCUAUGUUUCUUCUACAGGUAUACCAUUAUCGUUGGAGCGUAUACUAUGUCUAUUUGAUAUAUCUAUGAAUAUAUCCUUCCAGAGAAUAUUUAUUUUUGUAUUAUAUACUGGAUGGAAAUAAUUUCUUGCUUAUUGUUUAUGUAUGCCCAAACCAAUGGUAGCUGCUUAUUGUUUAUGUAUGCCCAAACCAAUGGUAGCUGCUUACUGAUAAAGGAAAGGUGUAAUAUAUGUGUUAUAGAAUCCAACAGAUCACCUGCUUACUGUUUAUAUAUGCAAAGAGUAAUGCUUGUUGCCCACUUAUAAUAAAGGGAAGUUAACUAGCAAAUAAAUAAUCUAUGGGUUGCAAAAUCCAGUAGACCAUGUGCUUACUGCUUUCAUACAUGGUCGUCUGCUGCUUCUUAUUCCUUUGUAAGCCUCUGAUUCCAACUAUGGUGUGCUUCUAGGUUGAUCGUCCGGCUGGGCAGUAGGUUGAUUUCUCUCCUUUGGUUGGCUUGUUAUCUGCUGCUUUGCCUAACAAUGUUUGUGCUUGCUCUUUACAGCUCUCUAAACACGGCCUGUCAUGUAGGUUUCUAAUUCAUUCUAUUCUACAGGUCUUGUUGUACUUGCAUUGCCUUGCCUUUUUAUCUGCUGCUCUGUUGGCUGGGCGACUACUUCUGCUGCUAUAUUGAUUAUUGUCGCCUCUUUCUCCAUUGUAAGGUGUUGUGUUCAGUCCAGCGCCGUGCCUACGGCACAAAUUCGUUGGCCUGAACAACGCUCCCGGCGCCGUGGAUGCACCCACUAGCAAGCUCAGGCCAAGGGAUAUAUGAUAUCGUGUGCUUGUACUAAAAAAGGUGUUCUGCCAUCCCAUGGAUUCUAGCACAGCUCGAAGCGGCCAAGUCAAGGAGGACCUAUAAAAUUAUCUGAUCGUCUCUCUCUUUCUAUAUAUGUGUUGUCUGGUGCAUGUAUGGCUGAGAAUAGGGAGAGAGAGCAAGCUUAAUUUUCAUUGGGCAUUCAAAUUCUUAUUUUGCUUUUCUCAGAUUUUUGGCUGGGUGUUUAAACAUACUUGCACACACUGGUUUCAGAUUUCAGUGUAAACUACAAAUAGGGGACAAAUUCUAGUGAUUUUUCCAAAUUAGAAAUAGGGGGAAGGGAAACUAUUGAUUAUUGUGUGCAUGUAUAACUAAUUGGAUUACUGGUUGAACGAGUGCUGAUUUGAGAAAGAAGAAAUAGGGCCAAUAAAAUUAGGUGGGAGGUAUGCUGAUCGGUUCAUUUUAGCACUACUAAUCGACCGCUUGGCAUCCUGAAGGUAUGAUGCAUAUUGCCUUGCUCUGAUUUGCUUAUUUGAAUGUGUUUGUGUACAUCAAAGUUCAUUUCGUUACUUUUGCUCUUUGAGGGAUAUAGGAGAGAUAUCUAUUGUUGAAAUUUGAUGAUAAAAAUAUAGCCAUUAUUGUUACAAGCAUUAUUGUUCCAGUUUUUUUUACUUAUUGAUCAUGCCAUUUUUCUUUCUGCCUUUGUAGCUGAAAGAUUAGUGAGACUGACUAAAUUCUAAACAUGUUACAUGUGAGAGAAAUAGCAUGUUGAUUUAUUCUUGAAAUAAUCAUAGCUGAGGGACGAAGUUCGUAACCGAGGGUCAUGUGCAGAGCUGGAGGAAGAAGUUGCGAGGCUUGGAACUCUCCUUGUGAAGGGCUCAGGGACAGCACUGAGGACAAUGCCUCUUUAAUUGUAAUUGUGAUACUCCUUAUGCUAAAAUGUUGGUGGUUAGUACAGAGGUGAUGACAUUGUUUGGUUCUCUGGUAUUGAUUUCAUGAUUUGUGGUUAAUACAUGAUGUAAUACAAUCCACAUUGCAUUAUAUUUCCAGUUA